rnacentral:rRNA from 1 species
AUACAUGCAAGUCGAACGAGCUUCCGUUGAAUGACGUGCUUGCACUGAUUUCAACAAUGAAGCGAGUGGCGAACUGGUGAGUAACACGUGGGGAAUCUGCCCAGAAGCAGGGGAUAACACUUGGAAACAGGUGCUAAUACCGUAUAACAACAAAAUCCGCAUGGAUUUUGUUUGAAAGGUGGCUUCGGCUAUCACUUCUGGAUGAUCCCGCGGCGUAUUAGUUAGUUGGUGAGGUAAAGGCCCACCAAGACGAUGAUACGUAGCCGACCUGAGAGGGUAAUCGGCCACAUUGGGACUGAGACACGGCCCAAACUCCUACGGGAGGCAGCAGUAGGGAAUCUUCCACAAUGGACGAAAGUCUGAUGGAGCAAUGCCGCGUGAGUGAAGAAGGGUUUCGGCUCGUAAAACUCUGUUGUUAAAGAAGAACACCUUUGAGAGUAACUGUUCAAGGGUUGACGGUAUUUAACCAGAAAGCCACGGCUAACUACGUGCCAGCAGCCGCGGUAAUACGUAGGUGGCAAGCGUUGUCCGGAUUUAUUGGGCGUAAAGCGAGCGCAGGCGGUUUUUUAAGUCUGAUGUGAAAGCCUUCGGCUUAACCGGAGAAGUGCAUCGGAAACUGGGAGACUUGAGUGCAGAAGAGGACAGUGGAACUCCAUGUGUAGCGGUGGAAUGCGUAGAUAUAUGGAAGAACACCAGUGGCGAAGGCGGCUG